UACAGAGGGUGCAAGCGUUGUUCGGAAUUAUUGGGCGUAAAGCGCGUGUAGGCGGCUUUGCAAGUCGGGUGUGAAAGCCCUCAGCUUAACUGAGGAAGUGCGCCCGAAACUGCAGAGCUUGAGUACCGGAGAGGAUGGCGGAAUUCCUGGUGUAGAGGUGAAAUUCGUAGAUAUCAGGAGGAACAUCGGUGGCGAAGGCGGCUUUCUGGACACUAACUGACGCUGAGACGCGAAAGCGUGGGGAGCAAACAGG
rnacentral:rRNA from 1 species